AUUGAACGCUGGCGGCAUGCUUUACACAUGCAAGUCGAACGGUAACAGGCCGCAAGGUGCUGACGAGUGGCGAACGGGUGAGUAAUGCAUCGGAACGUGCCCAGUCGUGGGGGAUAACUACUCGAAAGAGUAGCUAAUACCGCAUACGAUCUAUGGAUGAAAGCGGGGGACCGUAAAGCCUCGCGCGAUUGGAGCGGCCGAUGUCAGAUUAGGUAGUUGGUGGGGUAAAGGCUCACCAAGCCAACGAUCUGUAGCUGGUCUGAGAGGACGACCAGCCACACUGGGACUGAGACACGGCCCAGACUCCUACGGGAGGCAGCAGUGGGGAAUUUUGGACAAUGGGCGCAAGCCUGAUCCAGCAAUGCCGCGUGCAGGAAGAAGGCCUUCGGGUUGUAAACUGCUUUUGUACGGAACGAAACGGCUCUGGUUAAUACCCGGGGCUAAUGACGGUACCGUAAGAAUAAGCACCGGCUAACUACGUG
rnacentral:rRNA from 1 species